AUGUAAUUAGUUAAAUUUCUAUUUAAUUAAAUA
rnacentral:tRNA from 1 species